rnacentral:rRNA from 1 species
CUACGGGAGGCAGCAGUGAGGAAUUUUGCGCAAUGGGGGAAACCCUGACGCAGCCACGCCGCGUGUGCGAAGAAGGCCCUCGGGUCGUAAAGCACUGUCAAGUGGGAAAAAAAUCUUUUGAUCAAUAGUCAAAAGACUUGAUGGUACCACUGGAGGAAGCACCGGCUAACUCCGUGCCAGCAGCCGCGGUAAUACGGAGGGUGCAAGCGUUGUUCGGAUUUACUGGGCGUAAAGAGCGUGUAGGCGGUUUAGCAAGUCAGAUGUGAAAGCCCUGGGCUCAACCCGGGAAGUGCAUUUGAACUGCUUCACUAGAGUAUGGGAGAGGAGAUUGGAAUUCCUGGUGUAGAGGUGAAAUUCGUAGAUAUCAGGAGGAACACCCGUGGCGAAGGCGAUUCUCUGGACCAAUACUGACGCUGAGACGCGAAAGCGUGGGGAGCAAACAGGAUUAGAUACCCCAGUAGUC